rnacentral:rRNA from 1 species
AGAGUUUGAUCCUGGCUCAGAUUGAACGCUGGCGGCAUGCUUUACACAUGCAAGUCGAACGGCAGCACGGGGGCAACCCUGGUGGCGAGUGGCGAACGGGUGAGUAAUGCAUCGGAACGUAUCCUUGAGUGGGGGAUAACGCAGCGAAAGUUGUGCUAAUACCGCAUAAGCUCUGAGGAGGAAAGCGGGGGACCGAAAGGCCUCGCGCUGAAGGAGCGGCCGAUGUCCGAUUAGCUAGUUGGUGAGGUAAAGGCUUA